rnacentral:rRNA from 1 species
UACGUAGGCAGCAAGCGUUGUUCGGAAUUACUGGGCGUAAAGAGUGUGUAGGCGGUUUUCUAAGUUCGGUGUGAAAUCUCCCGGCUUAACUGGGAGGGUGCGCCGAAAACUGGAAGGCUUGAGUGCCGGAGAGGAUAGCGGAAUUCCCGGUGUAGCGGUGGAAUGCGUAGAGAUCCGGAAGAACACCGGUGGCGAAGGCGGCCUGCUGGGCAGUUGCUGACACUGAGGCGCGACAGCGUGAGGAGCAAACAGG